ensembl:lncRNA
CAACACAGCAGAUGGUGAUCCAUGCUGUGGAAGUCUCACAUCUCCUGAUUUAAUGGAGCUGCUUUGCACUUUUUACACUGUUUAUUCACCAACACUUUAUUUAAUAAAAGUCCCAUCUAGUUUUUAUGAGGAAUGUGGUGUUUUAAUUUCUCUGUGAAUAACUGCAGUCUAAUGCAACAGCUGGAGUUGUAACAUCUGUCCUGAUAUUGAUCAUGAAGUAUUGAUCAGAAUACUUAUGGUCAGCAGUCAUCCCUGAAGUUUUACAUUAAAAUCUUUACUUGUGUUGUGAACUUUGGCAAGAAGCAGAAACGUUAGUGUUGCCAUGGAUACAUGAGUGUUAAAUUCUGUCCAUGUUUUAUUUUGGGAAUGCAGUCCAGUUCCAGAAUGUGGAGGAAUUUAUUCUCAAUCACAGACAACAAAUAUUAUCUGAAAGUUGGGUUAUUGUUGUUUAUCAGCACAAUACAAAAAGAUUAAUGUUAGAAAUAUUCCAGUUCAGACUCUAGAAUAUCAUGAUUUAUGUAAAUUUACCUCAAUAAUAUGAAUGUUCAGGUUAAGAUUGUACAGUGAUAUUUAUUAUGUAAGUUUAGCUGAUUAAAGUUUAAGACUCUGCACCAAAAUAUUAUUUAAAUUGACAGCAAUAUUAUUUGACACAAAUCUAUCUAAAUCAAAAUUUUAAUAAUUUUCACACCAAACAUUUACUGGACUGAUUUAAACAUUAAAAUCACUCCUUUCUAAUCCUCUGCUGUAUGUUCAAACCUGAGGCCUUAAAUAGAAACACACAAGUAUCUGAUUGAAGGAACUUCUGCAGAGUCUUGGUUCCAGAACAUGAUGAUAGAAUUAUAGACAAACUUUAACAAAAGCUGCAUGAGAGUUUACAGGUUUUUAUGUUGGAUUUCUUCAGUAAUUUAAUGAGUUAUCAGCAAAAAUCAAGUGUUUAUUUGAUGAACUUCAUUUCCUAAAACAUCCAGAAUUGGAGCUCAUAUCUUUGGCAGCUGUAAAGUUUCUGCUCCUUCAAAGUUCACAACACAAUGAAUGAAUUCCUAAAACACUCUCAAUGCUGGAGAGCGUUUGAUGCUGAAGCAGUGACCAGUUUUUCUGUUUCUUCUCUGGAGAUGCACAAUGAGGGACGUCUGCAGAGACUGAGAAAGAGUCUCACCACAUCCUGACAUGAGGAAAAAGACUUUAUUGAAGACUACAAUGAGAAAAACUAUCAGACAGCAGACGGCUGCAUUCAAGAGAAGAAGACCAUCAAACAUCCACGUCAGCUGAUGGAGGUCCAAGAGUCUCACCAAACAACCUACAGAGUGAAGACCUCGAAUCUGAUUGGACGGCCUCCUAUUCAGCCACAUUUUAGGCUGUUAGAUUGUUCCAGAUAAGACAAGUACAAGAUUCUUCAGAGCCGUUCCACCACGAGCCUGACAGGAAGAACUCCAACAGCUACUGAAUGUUCCUGUGGUCCCCUCAAGGCUACAGGAGGAGCCCUACGAGGACGAGCCGGUCCACCUGAUGGCGGCCAGUCGCUGCUUUUCAAAGCCAACACCGACUACGUGGACUUCUACUGGACCACACGGAGGCCUUCAAACCGGACCAACAAGUUCACCGACUCCCCGACUCGUGGGUCUGAGGACGCCGCUGAGCCUCGGCCCAGCCGGCCUCCUGUCUGUGGGUGUUUGAGUGCUGAGAGGUUUGUGGAUGCAUGUGAACGUUCUGUGUUGAAACAGCAGCUUUGGACUCACUAACGCCAGGAAAAACCAAGAGCUCCUUUAUUUGUGACUUCCACUAAAAAACUGAUGAAAAUAAGUUU